GAAGGUGGGAGCGACGACUGCAAAACGGCAGCGAUGGGGGAGGCUUGCUGCUCCUCCGCGGCCGUUACAGAGAGCGGGGCUUCUGCGGCCGCUACCGUUUCCCUGGGGCUAGGUUGCUUCGCAGAAGGCUCUGGCCCUGAGUCCGAGGGGGACUGCGGGGUCCAGGGGCGAUGAAUGCUCCCGCAACCUCCGGAGCUUGUGCGCGUACUUCAGGGACCGGCACCACGUCACCGUCACCUCCUGAGUAGUGAGUUCCCCUCUGAUGAAACCACUGUCUGAAAAUUCAAAAGAGAAGCAAUUUAAAGGACUUCCAUUUACUUCUUUCCCCUCUAAUCUGCACAAAAGGUUAAAUGUAGCAGUGCAGCAGUUCUGGCCAUCAAAAUAUGAUUAUUGUACUUUAAAAGCAGCCAUGAGAACUCUGCUCUUUGAUAGACUUCAACUUGCAACAACUAAGGAAUAAUCCAGUUCCAGAGGAGAUUAGGAGUUGGGUGAGA
rnacentral:lncRNA from 1 species